rnacentral:rRNA from 1 species
GACGAACGCUGGCGGCGUGCUUAACACAUGCAAGUCGAGCGAUGAAGUUCCUUCGGGAAUGGAUUAGCGGCGGACGGGUGAGUAACACGUGGGUAACCUGCCUCAUAGAGGGGAAUAGCCUUUCGAAAGGAAGAUUAAUACCGCAUAAGAUUGUAGUACCGCAUGGUACAGCAAUUAAAGGAGUAAUCCGCUAUGAGAUGGACCCGCGUCGCAUUAGCUAGUUGGUGAGGUAACGGCUCACCAAGGCGACGAUGCGUAGCCGACCUGAGAGGGUGAUCGGCCACAUUGGGACUGAGACACGGCCCAGACUCCUACGGGAGGCAGCAGUGGGGAAUAUUGCGCAAUGGGGGAAACCCUGAUGCAGCAACGCCGCGUGAGUGAUGACGGUCUUCGGAUUGUAAAGCUCUGUCUUCAGGGACGAUAAUGACGGUACCUGAGGAGGAAGCCACGGCUAACUACGUGCCAGCCGCCGCCGUAAUAC